UCAAAUCUAUAAAAAUAGUAUUUAAAUAAAACAUAAACUCUGCGCAUUAAGAACAUUUUCAGACACUGGACAGCUGGCUGAUUAAUACACUAACAUUUAUAUAAAAGUGGUAUAGAUACCUUGAAGGCCAUAGGGAGCUCAACGAUGUAGAGAUCCACAUAGUCUAGUUUUAAGAUUUUCAUAACAAAUCGUCUUACCUUUCCACAGUAAAAGAUGUCCUCUCUUUUCACGACUCCCUCAGCAAUCUUCUGUCUAAUGGCUUGACCCACUUCAUGCUCAUUGAAGUACACCAGAGCC